UUGAACGCUGGCGGCAUGCCUUACACAUGCAAGUCGAACGGCAGCACGGGAGCUUGCUCCUGGUGGCGAGUGGCGAACGGGUGAGUAAUAUAUCGGAACGUGCCCAGUAGUCGGGGGAUAGCCCGGCGAAAGCCGGAUUAAUACCGCAUACGAUCUACGGAUGGAAGCGGGGGAUCGCAAGACCUCGCGCUAUUGGAGCGGCCGAUAUCUGAUUAGCUAGUUGGUAGGGUAAAAGCCUACCAAGGCGACGAUCAGUAGCUGGUCUGAGAGGACGACCAGCCACACUGGAACUGAGACACGGUCCAGACUCCUACGGGAGGCAGCAGUGGGGAAUUUUGGACAAUGGGCGCAAGCCUGAUCCAGCAAUGCCGCGUGAGUGAAGAAGGCCUUCGGGUUGUAAAGCUCUUUUGUCAGGGAAGAAACGGCGGGCUCUAACAUAGCCUGCUAAUGACGGUACCUGAAGAAUAAGCACCGGCUAACUACGUG
rnacentral:rRNA from 1 species